rnacentral:rRNA from 1 species
GACGUAGGGAGCAAGCGUUGUCCGGAAUUACUGGGCGUAAAGAGCUCGUAGGUGGUUUGUCGCGUUGUUCGUGAAAACUCACAGCUCAACUGUGGGCGUGCGGGCGAUACGGGCAGACUAGAGUACUGCAGGGGAGACUGGAAUUCCUGGUGUAGCGGUGGAAUGCGCAGAUAUCAGGAGGAACACCGGUGGCGAAGGCGGGUCUCUGGGCAGUAACUGACGCUGAGGAGCGAAAGCGUGGGGAGCGAACAGG